rnacentral:rRNA from 1 species
CCUACGGGAGGCUGCAGUGGGGGAUAUUGCACAAUGGGGGAAACCCUGAUGCAGCGACGCCGCGUGAGUGAAGAAGUAUUUCGGUAUGUAAAGCUCUAUCAGUAGGGAAGAAAAUGACAGUACCUGACCAAGAACCCCCGGCCAAAUACGUGCCAGCAGCCGGGGUUAUAUGUCGGGAGCAGGCGUUAUCCGGAUUUACCGGGUGUAAAGGGAGCGUAGUCGGUUUUGUAAGUCUGGAGUGAAAGCCCCGGGCCCAACCCCGGGACUGCUUUUGAAACUGUGUAACUGGAGUACAGGAGGGGCAGGCGGAAUGCCUGGUGUAGCGGUGAAAUGCGUAGAUAUCAGGAGGAACACCGGCGGCGAAGGCGGCCUGCUGGACUGAAACUGACAUUGAGGCUCGAAAGCGUGGGGAGCAAACAGGAUUAGAUACCCUGGUAGUC